AUCAAUACAAGUGUUCCGAAGUCAACGGGACGCACAGGUAUCCCAGACUAAAUCAAACAACAUUACUUGGAUCAAAGUGCAGUGUCCGCAACAGCGAAACAGUUCAGAUUGCGGAUACUUUGUUUUGAGAUUUAUGAAAGAAAUCCUUCAGGCGAAUCAAUUAGAGAUUCCGCUCACGUACCUUGACGAAUUCCGUGCUGCUGGGUACCCAAGACUUAAGUUGGAAGAAAUCAAAGAGGAUUUGUGUCAAUUUUAUAUUAAGCAAUUUUUCAUGUAGGAUUUGUGUCAAUUUGAACUAUAAUAUUAUUGAUGUUGUAAUGAUGUAUAUAUAUAAUUUUGGAUAUUAUAAUGGUAUUAUAUUAGUAUAUAUAUUGUCUUACUGAUGGCUGAAAUUAUAUCGUCGAAAAUAUAUUACAGGUCGAAAAUAUUACAGGUUGAAAACAUAUUACAGGUCGAAAAUAUUACAGGUCGAC